UACGUAGGUGACAAGCGUUGUCCGGAUUUACUGGGCGUAAAGCGUGCGCAGGCGGUUUUGUAAGUCUGUCGUGAAAGCCCCGGGCUCAACCUGGGAAUUGCGAUGGAGACUGCAAGGCUUGAAUCUGGCAGAGGGGGGUAGAAUUCCACGUGUAGCAGUGAAAUGCGUAGAGAUGUGGAGGAACACCGAUGGCGAAGGCAGCCCCCUGGGUCAAGAUUGACGCUCAUGCACGAAAGCGUGGGGAGCAAACAGG
rnacentral:rRNA from 1 species